UCUGCCUGGUAGUGGGGGAUAACGUCCGGAAACGGGCGCUAAUACCGCAUACGUCCUGAGGGAGAAAGUGGGGGAUCUUCGGACCUCACGCUAUCAGAUGAGCCUAGGUCGGAUUAGCUAGUUGGUGGGGUAAAGGCCUACCAAGGCGACGAUCCGUAACUGGUCUGAGAGGAUGAUCAGUCACACUGGAACUGAGACACGGUCCAGACUCCUACGGGAGGCAGCAGUGGGGAAUAUUGGACAAUGGGCGAAAGCCUGAUCCAGCCAUGCCGCGUGUGUGAAGAAGGUCUUCGGAUUGUAAAGCACUUUAAGUUGGGAGGAAGGGCAGUAAGUUAAUACCUUGCUGUUUUGACGUUACCAACAGAAUAAGCACCGGCUAACUUCGUGCCAGCAGCCGCGGUAAUACGAAGGGUGCAAGCGUUAAUCGGAAUUACUGGGCGUAAAGCGCGCGUAGGUGGUUCAGCAAGUUGGAUGUGAAAUCCCCGGGCUCAACCUGGGAACUGCAUCCAAAACUACUGAGCUAGAGUACGGUAGAGGGUGGUGGAAUUUCCUGUGUAGCGGUGAAAUGCGUAAAUAUAGGAAGGAACACCACUGGCGAAGGCGACCACCUGGACUGAUACUGACAC
rnacentral:rRNA from 1 species